AUUGAACGCUGGCGGCAUGCCUUACACAUGCAAGUCGAACGGAUUCAAGGGGCUUGCUCCUUGAGUUAGUGGCGAACGGGUGAGUAAUGCAUCGGAACGUACCCAGUUGUGGGGGAUAACGUAGCGAAAGUUACGCUAAUACCGCAUACGACCUGAGGGUGAAAGCGGGGGAUCGCAAGACCUCGCGCAAUUGGAGCGGCCGAUGUCAGAUUAGCUAGUUGGUAGGGUAAAAGCCUACCAAGGCGACGAUCUGUAGCUGGUCUGAGAGGACGACCAGCCACACUGGGACUGAGACACGGCCCAGACUCCUACGGGAGGCAGCAGUGGGGAAUUUUGGACAAUGGGGGAAACCCUGAUCCAGCCAUGCCGCGUGAGUGAAGAAGGCCUUCGGGUUGUAAAGCUCUUUCGGACAGAAAGAAAUCUUCUGGGCUAAUACCCUGAGAGGAUGACGGUACUGUAAGAAGAAGCACCGGCUAACUACGUGCCAGCAGCCGCCGUAA
rnacentral:rRNA from 1 species